GGGCCUGUAGCUCAGCUGGUUAGAGCACCUGCUUUGCAAGCAGGGGGUCAAGGGUUCGAAUCCCUUCAGGUCCA
rnacentral:tRNA from 1 species